rnacentral:tRNA from 1 species
AAGAUAUUAGAAAAAACCAUUUCAUGGCUUUGUCAAAGCCAAGUUAUAGGCUAGACCCUUUAUAUCUUA